rnacentral:rRNA from 1 species
AGUGAACGCUGGCGGUAGGCCUAACACAUGCAAGUCGAACGGCAGCACAGUAAGAGCUUGCUCUUACGGGUGGCGAGUGGCGGACGGGUGCGGAAUACAUCGGAAUCUACUUUUUCGUGGGGGAUAACGUAGGGAAACUUACGCUAAUACCGCAUACGACCUACGGGUGAAAGCAGGGGCUCUUCGGACCUUGCGCGAUUGAAUGAGCCGAUGUCAGGUUAGCUAGGUUGCGGGGUAAGGGCCCACCAAGGCGACGAUCCGUAGCUGGUCUGAGAGGAUGAUCAGCCACACUGGAACGGAGACACGGUCCAGACUCCUACGGGAGGCAGCAGUGGGGAAUAUUGGACAAGGGGCGCAAGCCUGAUCCAGCCAUACCGCGUGGGUGAAGAAGGCCUUCGGGUUGUAAAGCCCUUUUGUUGGGAAAGAAAAGCAGCAGGUUAAUACCCCGCUGUUCUGACGGUACCCAAAGAAUAAGCACCGGCUAACUUCGUG